AUGAUUAUGUCACUGACUCUACUGCUGGCCACCCUGGGCCUCCUUGUUCAGGGUUCAUCAGGACAAAUCAUCCUGACUCAGUCUCCUGGAUCUCAGUCUGUUGUUGCAGGACAGACUGUCUCUAUCAGAUGUAAAACCAGUACAAGUGUUAGUAGCUACCUCAGCUGGUACCUUCAGAAAUCUGGAGAAGCUCCUAAACUCCUGAUUUAUUCAGCUACAACCCGUCAGUCUGGAGUUUCAGAUCGUUUUACUGGAAGUGGUUCUGGGACUGACUUCACUCUGACCAUCAGAGGAGUCGAGGCUGAAGAUUCAGGAGUUUACUACUGUCAGCAGGGUUACAACCUGUUCACACAGUGAUACAACGUCGUACAAAAACCUCCCUCAGCUGGAGAGGAACUGAUCUGACUCAACAGCUGCACUGAAACUAAAACAACAGAAGCUUGACUAAACUAAAAUAUAUAUUUAAUAAUAAUUGACGUUAAGCAUUUUAACACUAAAUAUACUUUAUCUAACUAGAAGUUAUACUGUAAAGUAUUUAAAUUAAAAAGGGUUUAAAACA